CUCGCCGGCGUCGCGGGCUGGAGCGAGCGAGCGAGAAGAGAGAGAGCCGUUUAGGCGGAGUGGGGAAAAGGUCGUCAGCUCCUCUCUUGCUCCUGACCUCUACCCACCCACCGGUGAAAGGAGCCGGCCGGCAGCAGGGAAGUGUCGCCUAGUGGGCACUGCGAGGAUCUGACGUUCAGGAUUCAGUGGGGUCAUCAUUGCCUUCUCCCAGCAACGGGGCUCCAGUGACAUGCUCCUCUAAGUACCCAGCUACAAGCGCCCUCCUUCGGCGGUAGGAGAAAGGGAUCGCCCGAGAUCGGGAGGCAGCCACCAGGAGUUCAGAGUCCAGCGCUUGCGGAGGAGGAGGAGGAGAGGCAGCAGUUGCUAUGAUUCGGGCACUGGUCCUCCUGUUGCUGGCUAGGAAUGGAGCCAUGGCCACCAGCACUAACCCCCGUCUGAAGCUCUCCUUCCAGGAUCUGCGGUUGCGGCACGGGCUGCGCACCUCUGAGCUGGAGCGCUCCUGCUGCUAUGACUCACUGCUGCUGGAUGAAGAGAGAGGGCGACUUUUUGUGGGCGGGAAAAACUACCUGGCCUCCCUAAGCUUAGACAACAUCAGCAAGCAGGACAAGAAGAUUUACUGGCCAGCACCUGUGGAAUGGAGGGAAGAGUGCAACUGGGCAGGCAAAGACAUCAAUGCUGAGUGCAUGAACUUUGUCAAGAUCCUGCACCUCUACAACCGCACCCACCUGUAUGCCUGUGGCACUGGGGCCUUCCACCCCAUCUGUGGCUUUGUGGAGGUUGGGCAUCGUGCGGAGGACUCUGUGUUGAAACUGGACCUCAAGAUCUUGGAGGAUGGCAAAGGCAAGAGCCCCUAUGACCCGCGCCACUUGGCUGCCUCUGUGCUUGUGGGUGAAGAGCUCUAUUCUGGUGUGGCUACUGACCUGAUGGGCCGCGACUUCACAAUCUUCCGCAGCCUGGGCUCGAGGCCCUCCAUCCGCACAGAACAACAUGACUCCCGGUGGCUGAAUGAGCCCAAGUUCGUUGAUGUCUUCUGGAUCCCGGAGAGUGAGAAUCCUGAUGAUGACAAGAUCUUCUUCUUCUUCCGGGAGACAGCAGUGGAGGGAGCCCAGGGGCUGGGCAAGCACACUUUUGCCCGCAUUGGACAGAUCUGUCGGAAUGACAUGGGUGGGCAGAGGAGCCUGGUGAAUAAAUGGACGACGUUUCUGAAGGCCCGGCUGGUGUGUGCCGUGCCAGGCAGUGAUGGGAGUGAAACCUACUUUGACCAGCUCCGUGAUGUUUUCCUGCUGCCAACCAGGGACAGGCGUAACCCAUUGCUCUAUGCUGUUUUCACCACUUCCAGCACCAUUUUCAAAGGCUCUGCUGUCUGUGUGUACCACAUGAAUGAUAUCCGCCGAGCCUUCUUGGGACCUUUUGCUCACAAGGAGGGACCCAACUAUCAGUGGGUGUCGUACCAAGGCCGGGUCCCUUACCCCCGCCCAGGAAUGUGCCCCAGCAAAACCUUUGGCACUUUUAGUUCCACCAAGGAUUUCCCUGAUGACGUGAUCCAGUUUGCCCGCAACCACCCCUUAAUGUAUAACCCGGUGUUGCCACAUGGCCAGCAGCCCAUCUUCCUGCAAACCAACAUUGACUACACUUUCACCCACAUUGCCGUGGAUCGGGUGGCUGCUGCUGAUGGCCACUACGAUGUCCUCUUCAUCGGCACAGAUGUUGGCACAGUCCUGAAGGUGGUCUCUGUGCCCAAGGAGAGCUGGCAAAACAUGGAGGAGCUGCUGCUGGAAGAGUUGCAGGUGUUUAAGGACUCCUCUCCAGUUACCAGCAUGCAGGUCUCCUCAAAGCGGCAACAGCUCUAUGUGGGCUCCAGGACUUCCAUUUCCCAGCUGCCCUUGCACCGCUGUGGCGUCUAUGGCAAAGCCUGUGCAGAAUGCUGCCUGGCUAGGGACCCAUACUGUGCCUGGGAUGGCACCACCUGCACUCGCUACAUGCACAACACCAAACGGCGGUUCCGACGUCAGGAUGUGAGGAACGGGGACCCCAAUACGUUGUGCUCUGGAGAUCCCCUGAGAAACAGCGUGCCAGAAAAGAAGCUAUAUGGAGUGGAAGGCAGCAGUGCCUUCUUGGAGUGCCUCCCCAGGUCACUGCAGGCCCAGGUUGUGUGGAUGUACCAGAAAACCAGCAGUGCCCUACGGAAGGAGGUUUUGUUGGAUGAUCGGGUCAUGAAGAUGGAGCGGGGGAUCCUGCUGCGCAGUGUGCAGCGCAAAGAUGCCGGCCUCUACCACUGCCAUGCCACAGAGCAUGGCUUCACCCAGAGCUUGCUGAGCCUCCGACUCGAAGUGAUCCAUGCCCAGCAAGCUGACUCCCUCUCCUGGGAAGAGGACCCCACCCAGUCUUUCCAUCGCAAGCUCUGGUACCAGGACUUCUUGCAGCUGGUGGAUCACCCCAACCUCAGCACCAUGGACCAGGUCUGCGAGCAGCUGUGGAGUCGCAAGAGCCACCAGCCCAAAAAGAAGCCGCCCCUGCCCCCUCCGCUGAGCACCAAGGUCAAGAGCCACAAGUGGAAGCACUUGGAGGGAAAGCGGAAGGCCCGCAGCCGGAGAACACAUGAAGUGCCUCGUGCCGAAAGGGGACCCCGAAGCAUUGGCAUCUGGUGACCCACAGGAGGUGCAGCUGGACAACUGCUGUGCUGGGAGGGGCCAGGGGAGCAGGCUGGGAGUGUGGGGAAAGGGGUGGGAGAGUGUGCAGGGCCACUUGCGUCUUUUCUGGUUCAGUGGAAAGAGCUUCCUUCUUCACAGGUCCCGUGCUCCUGGCUGCUGCUUAUGUAGUUUGUAGUGGGGGGAAGUGUUGUUGUCAUAGCAAUGUAGCUGCCAUUUUUCAGAACCCAGCACAACGCCAUGGAACCUGACAGGAAUAAGAGGGGAUUCUGCACCCCUGCCUUCUUCCGUAACACACAACCAAAGAUCGGGCAUCAAUAUCCAAGGACCAGUGGGCUGAGGGGUCAUAGCCUGUACACCCCUAUGCAGUGAUGAGUAAAGCUCAUGGGACACCCUGGGAGCUACAGUUCUUGCUUUCAGGAGUCUGCUAAUCACCAAGGUGGGCCCAGGGGCAGAGAUGUCCCCCAGCUCUGAGGGUUCCACUUGUGCUCAGGCAUCUUCCUCUGGAUAGAGCAACUCCCUGGUGCAUCUUACAACAAUAGGUGAAUACCCUGCCCAAGACUCUCAAUAAGCAGGGCAUCAGUCGCCUUUUCUUUCCCUCCCAUAAUCCAGCCAACCCUGCCACAUGUGUGUAAGUGUAGCAAUGUGAUCUCCACCCUCCAGAGACACAAGAGAAUCACUGAUAUAUUUAUUAACAGACUGUUUACUGAUGAAUGUAAACCCGCCAGCAGGUGGCCCACCAGGAUUUAGCCUGACAGGAGGAACAAAGCUUCUGUGGCCCAAAGGACUCUGGGACAUUUCUGACUGAAAAUUCCUGAAUGUGUUUAGAUAUUGCAUGUGAUGGUAGUGAUGAUGACAACAGAGGAAACCGAUGAGGGGCCUUGCAGUAUAUUUUGCUCCCUUUCAUUUUGUAUGAGCCUGAGGAGAUACUUCAUCAGCCUGGCCUGCUCAAGGGGCAAGAACAGUAAGGGAAAGAUCCCUGCUAUGAGAAACAGCUAUGGGGCCCAUGCUGUUGUGGAGAAGCAGUGACGCUGGGGAUGGAUAAGGAGUCUUGAGGCUGCGGCCUAAUCAUAAGAUAUUGAGGAUCCCCACUGAGGCAAACUUCUCAACAAAAGAUAAAAGAUACUGGCUAGUAUACAAGACUGCAUUACAUCCUGAUUUAGGCUGCAAUCAAUGCAAGAUGGUAGGUGAUACCACCAAGAGUGCUGCAGAUGAAGAGUUCCCAACCUUGGGCCCCCAUAUGUUAGACUCAACUCUCAUCAUCCCCAGUCACAAUUGCUGAAGGCCAUUAGUGGGAUGAUGGGAGUUGUAGACCAACAACAUCUGGGGACCCAGAGUUGGGAAGCCCUGCAGUAAAGAGCAAGUAUUUCCCUCUCAAUUGAUAUAUGUGAGUAUUUCCCUCUCAUGCUCUCAGUGAGCAUGAUAUAUGUGAGGUAUAUAUGUGAUGUGAUUUCUGUACUGUAUACUAAAUGUAUGGCACUAUAACAGUGUAAUCAACACUUGGGAGUUGCUUGUGAUUGGGUCCUGAUAACUGGGUGCUCAGAAGAAUUGGAUAUUACUGUACUCUUCAGUGGGCUGGUUCUGACAGGCAUCAUACCGAAGGAUGGGAGCUGUGCUUGCUUCUGUUUUGUGAUCAUUUGUGAGUUAAGAAAAAGGUCGGGGGAGGGGAAAGUGAUAGUGUGGGAGGCAGGCGCAGGCUCCAAUGGCAUUUCCUCCUGCCGUGGUCAUGUGCUGGGGGAAAGUGUUGAGUAGGACUACACUAUCGGAGCCUGUGCUCAUCUGCCACAUGGUCAGCCCUCCUCCAGCCUUGUUCUUAACUUACCCAUGGUCACAAAAUGGGAGCAUGCACAGAACACAUUACUUCCAAGGGCCAUACACUGCAAGUGGAGCUGAUGGAAGUUGUAGUCCAUCAAAGAUGAAAAGGCUCAGGAUGGACACGGCAUAAACCCUCCCCUCAACCCUAAUCCCUCCUUCAGGAUAAAUGGACAGUUUUCACAAUGGAGGGAAGUAAGAAGUGGGGUACCCCAGGGAUCUGUACUGGGACUAGUGCUCUUUGACUUCUUCAUAAAUGAUCUAGAAGUUGGGAUAAGCAGUGAAGUGGCCAAAUUUGCAGAUGACACUAAACUACUUAGGGUAGUGAAAUCCACAACAGAUUGCAAGGAGCUCCAAAAAGAUCUCUCUGAACUGGGGGUGUUGUGGUUGACAAAAUGGUAGAUACGGUUCAAUGUAAGCAAGUGUAAACUGAUGGACAUUGGAGCAAAAAAUUCCAACUUCAUGUAUACACUGAUGGGAUCUGAGCCAUCACUGAUUGACCAGAGAGAAAUCUUGGGAUUGUGGUGGACAGCUCAUUGAAAGUGUGGACUCACAAGAUGAUCAGGGGCCUGCAAGGCUACAGCAUCUUGCCUGUGGACUUCUCAGAGGCAUCUGGUGGGCCGCUGUGUGAAACAGGAUGAUGGAGUGGAUGGGCCUUGGGCCUGAUCCAGCAUGGUUCUUAUGAUACUUAACAGUGGCAUAGUAAGGAUGCAAGAGGCCUGAGUUUGUCCCCCACCCCCAGCACACACACACACACCCCACAGCCCACACACCACCCCCCAGCACACACACACAUAUGCACAGGUGGUGCAUGCCUUCUCUCCUUAACAGGGGCCACCACCAUUGCACCACCACCACCACCGCUCCUCCUGCCACUUGCCAUCAGGCUCCGGAGCCAGUCAGAAGCAGGGAGGACUCAUUCCAUUCCUCUCUGGAGAGCGGAAAGAACAGGGCCUCUCUUCUUCUGAGUUGCCCUCAAGCCCAGUGGGAAUGGAGGGUGCGCAUGCAUGUACCCUUAUUUUGAGACAGGGCUCAUGCAUGCCCUCCAUUCCCAGCAGGCCCGGGGGCGCUCAGAACCAGCGACAUCCUGCUCUGUUCCUCUAUGGACAGAGAAAUGGAACGGGGCUGUCCUCCUUCUGAAUGCCCCCCCAAGCCCAAUGGCCAGCAGUGGGCAACAGGAACUGCAGCAGCAGGAACCCCCUUUGCAAGUGGGGGGAGGCAGCAAGCAGCAAGGGGCUCUCAGUGGCCGUACCCCCUAUGAUGGCCCAUGUUCUUUGGACAUGGGCAAACAGUGGGAGCUCUGUCCCUGCUACUAAAUAUAAUAAGCUGUUUGGGCAGACCAAUUUAUAUUCUCUCUUCCUCUGACCUCUGUUUUCCUUUGUCUUUUUCAACGGACACAUGAACAUUUCAUGGUAAUUGCUUUCUUCAACUGCCCUCAAUCGUAGACGGAAUUGAUAGAUUCAUACAGUCUGCCUGGCUUCUGGUUUCUUUACAACUAUUUGUUUUUAGUCUCUGCCCUGAUAAUAAUAAGCAGGACUGUGUAAAACCCAGAACAGGCUGGAACAGCCCCUUUAAAAUCAAACUGGAUCCCCCAAACAGUGGGAUGUGUUAGAAAUACUAGAUAACAAUAUUUUAGUAUUGAAAUAAUUGUUUAAUUGAUUUAGUUGUGAUUUUAAUUGUUUGUUUUUAUUCUGAUGUAAACCACCCUGAGCCAUUUUUGGAAGGGUGGUAUAUAAAUCAAAUAAAUCAAAUAAAUAUAAACUAACUUAACACACA